rnacentral:tRNA from 1 species
UUAGUUAAUAAGUUCUUGAAUGAAGGUAUCUACAGAUUCAGCUCUCAUCAAAGCUUCCCCGACAAGAACGCCAUGAACCCCUUCCUUCUUAUACUGAUCAGCGUCAGACGCUACUGUAAUACCAGAUAGGGCGAUCAAUAACGUACCCUCUGGGACUUGUCCAACCAAACUAGAUGUUGUACUUAGAUCCACGUUGAAAGAGUGCAAAUCUCUGUUAUUGACACCAAUAACCUUAGAUCCGAUACUCAAUGCACGUGUUAGUUCUGCAGAUGAGUUAACUUCAACAAGUGGCUCUAGAUGUAGCUCCUUGGCAUAAUCGUACAAUUCCUUUAACAAGGCAUCGUUGAGCAUCUUCACAAUCAAGAGCACUGUAUCGGCACCCGCAAGUCUGGCCUCUAAGAUUUGGUAUUUGGAGAAAAUGAAUUCCUUCCGCAAUACACAUGGUCUGUUGGCUUCGUUACCCUUGAACUUCACGUCAAGAGCCCUUCUAACAGAUCUCAAAUCCUCAAUGGAACCUUUGAACCAAUGAGGCUCAGUUAAUACGGAAAUCGCCGCAGCACCAGCACCGGCAUAUUGCAAGGCUUGUUCAGAAGCAACAACACUCAAGUCGAUAUCGCCCUUGGAUGGAGAUGCCCUCUUUACUUCGGCCAACACAGCAGUUUUUUUGUUUUGAGUAGCACUCUGCAAUCUCUGGUAGAAAUCUUGCACCUGUGGGGCCAAACCUAGCUUGUAGUUUGUCUCUAAAUCCACAAGACGGAAACCCGGAGUAGAAGACUGCUGUUGCACGUCGACACGACGUUUUUCAUAAAUCGUGUCCAAGAUGGACUUACCUCCACUGACAUUCGCAUCCACAGCCUUGGCCCUCAGAUUCGCUUCAUUUUCUUCCCAGGUGGCCCCCGUCACUUCAAGAAUAUUUUUGAUCAUUUGAUGGCCGCUCUCAGUGAGAAUAGAUUCCGGAUGGAACUGAACACCUUCCACAGUGUACUUCUUAUGUCUCACACCCAUGAUAAUCCCAUUCUCCGUCCUGGCUGUAACCUCCAACACGUCGGGAAGCGUCUCCUUCGUGCCCGCUAGCGAAUGGUACCUAGUAACAGCAACUCCCUGCGGAACCCUUCUAAAGAAACCCUUCCCAUCGUGGUAAAUAGGCGACGUCUUACCAUGGACAAUUUCUCCAGCAAAGCUUAUCUCACCACCAAACACAUCAAACAUACACUGUUGACCCAUACAAACACCAAAAACAGGCACCUUACCACAGAAAUACCUGAUACACUCCCGCGAAAUUCCAGAAUCCGUCUUAGGAUGGCCUGGCCCAGGCGAAAUCAUCACAAUAUCUGGCUUCAAUGCCUCCACUUCCUCAACACUAAUCUUAUCAUUACGAUAAACCAAUACCUCAGCUCCCUCCUGACACAAAUACUCGUAGAUAUUCCAUGUAAAUGAAUCGUAAUUGUCGAUUAAAACUACUCUUUUGCUGAUCGUCAU